rnacentral:lncRNA from 1 species
AAUCAUCAAUCAAACAGUUAACAUAUAUAUUAACUUAAAACUAAAAGUUAAUAGAACAAAAAUAAAAUAAAUAAGAGUAUAAACGAAUAAAUGAACGGUUGUUGGUAGUUGUUGGAAGAUUUUAAAUUAUGUAAGGAGUGUGUUUUGGUUGAUGUUGAAGUGUUGAAAGUGAAUAGCUAUAGCAGUUUUGUUUUGUGGGAAUAGUUUGUGGUUGAUAUCAAAUUGUAGAAAGAAAAGAUAGUAUGAUGAAAGUUUUGUGAACAGUAACGGAUGAAUUUACAUUUUCAGUGGGAGAAAACGAUUUCUCUUUCAUUUCUAUUUUUUAAUUUGAGAGUCGAGAAAGAGAUGUGGACAAGCGCCGCUGAGGUGUUGGUCUGUGUUUUGGUCUGAUUGUGGAU